GGGGCUGUGGGACACGAUGGUGCCUGCCAGGGUGCUGGGGCUGCUCCUCUGCAUGCAGUUCUGCAUGGGCAGCGAGGUGCUGCGGCUGGUGGAUGGCGGUGGGCGCUGUGCCGGUCGGGUGGAGGUGAAGCACGAGGGAGAAUGGGGCUCCGUCUGCACCUACGACAUCCAGUGGGACUCACAAGGGGCUGGCGUGGUGUGCCGGCAGCUGGGCUGUGGCACGGUGGCCCAUACGUCCCCAUAUGCCCCAUUUGGUCAGGGCAAGGGACGCAUCUGGCUGCAUCCCUUCUUCUGCCUUGGCACUGAGGCCACCCUGCAGGACUGCCCCAACUUUGGCUGGGGCAAGCACUUCUGUGGUCACGAGUGGGACGUGGGAGUGAUCUGCACAGAGGCACUGGAGCUGCGGCUGGUGGACGGCAGGAGACCCUGCGAGGGGAGAGUGGAGAUGAAACUGCGGGGACGCUGGGGCACAGUUGCUGACCGUGCCUGGAAUAUGAAUGAUGCUGAGGUGGUGUGCCAGCAGCUGGGCUGUGGCUCGGCAGCUCACACCAAGUUUACCUGGCAAAUUUCGCAAGUCCACAGUGCCCUAAUGUUGGCCAUUGUCAAUUGCACUGGGAAUGAGAAAGCCAUCUGGGACUGCAGCAUUAAGGGUUGGGGUCCCUACCAUGUCCCUCGUGAUUAUAACGCCACUGUGGUCUGCCAAGGGUUCUCCCGGCUGGCCGGAGGGGACAGCGCCUGCUCGGGGCGGCUGGAGGUGCGGCAGGGCCGCGCCUGGGUCAGCGUCUGCCAUGGCCACGUGGACCUCAUGGCCGCCCAGGUCGUCUGCAGGGAGCUGGGCUGCGGUACAGCACUGGCCCUACCCGGGGCUGGGCAUUUUGGAGCAGCAGCGGGGCCAUUCUGGGAUGGCACCUUUGAGUGCAAUGGAACUGAGCUCCUCCUCUCUGCUUGCAAGCGGGGGCCUCCCCACAUCAAGAACUGCACCCAACCUGCUGCCAUCAUCUGCUCUCGUAAGCACUGGUGCUGUGGGGGUGCAUCUGCCCCAUGCAGUGUGGUGUCCCCAGGGGUCCCUCGCUCCUCCAACCCCAGCACUCUCUCUCUGCUGCAGCCUACACUGGGUUCCGGCUGGCAGAUGGAGACUCAAACUGCACUGGGCGGGUAGAGGUGGAGGCACGAGGGGUUUGGAGGCCCCUGUGUGCCACUGCCUGGGACCUGCCUGAUGCCCACGUCCUCUGCCGCCACCUGGGCUGUGGUUCCACUGUCUCCCUGCCCCCACCAGGCCAUUUUGGGAUGGGGACAGGGACACUGCAGCGUGAUGCCCUCAGCUGCAGCGGGAGUGAGCAGCACCCAGGCGAGUGCCCCGUGGAGGUGCUGGGGCAGCCUGCCUGCCCCCCCAGACACACCGCUGCCGUCAGCUGCUCAGGUGUCACUGAACCCCUGCGGCUCCACGGUGGGGAGAGUCGGUGCGACGGACGGCUGGAGGUGGCCAUGAGCCCCGGUGUCUGGGCCCGCGUGUCUGUGGGGCUGUGGCACAAUGGCACUGCCACCGUGGCGUGCCGGCAGCUGGACUGUGGUGUGCCUGAGAAAAUAUAUGCUGCGCCGGCCACCAACUCGGGCCCCAUGGAGCUGCAGGAGCUGCAAUGUAUUGGCACGGAGGAGCUCCUGACACAGUGUAAUGCCUCAGGGAUGGUCACCGAGCCCAGCCACAGCCAUGAGGAGUUGUCCAUUGUUUGCUCAGGCAGCCGGCAGCUGAGGCUGACAGGAGGCCCUGGGCGCUGCGCCGGCAGGGUGGAGGUGUACAGCGAGGGCACCUGGGGCACCGUCUGCCAGGACACCUGGACCCUGCUGGAUGCCACCGUCGUCUGCCGCCAGCUGGGCUGCGGAUGGGCUCUGGAGGCAGCUGGCUCCGAGCACUUUGGGCCUGGCACUGGGACACUAUGGUCAGGUGCUGGGGGCUGCUCCGGGAUGGAGGAUGCUCUCUGGCACUGCCCAGCCCCAGUGCAGCGUGGCUGCCAGCUUGGUGGAGGUGCGGGUGCCGUGUGCUCAGGGCUGCUGGACCUGCGGCUGACGGGGGAAAGCAGCAGAUGCAGAGGGUACCUGGAAGUGCUGCAUGAGGGAACAUGGGGUCGUGUUUGCGCCAAUGGCACCAGCUCUGCCACAGCCAGUGCCGUCUGCCGCCAGCUGGGAUGCGGCACUGGGGGGAGGCUGGCAUUUGUCCAAGCACAGGGCUCAGAUCCUGCCUGGCUGAGCUGGGUGAGUUGUGAGGAGGGGGCCCGCUCGCUCUGGCGCUGCCCCUCAGCGCCCUGGCAGCUGCAGGAAUGCGACCCCACUGGAAUCACGCACAUCAUAUGCGAAGAGGACACCAGCGACAGGAGUGAGGCCACCAGCCCAACCCCAGGUAUCAGCUGCCACGACAGAGACACCUCACCAAAUGGCUCUGUCCAUGCUCACUGUCCUCUAACCGCUGCCAUGGGAUCCCCACGAUGCCUCACGCUUCCCAUCACUGCCCCACAGUUCUCACCCACAGCGCUGCCCCACUCACAGCAGCAACAAGGAGCGUGUCCGCACUCACAGUCCUGUGCGUGAUCCUGGGGAUGCUGCUGUGCCUGGCCCUGGCCGCCCUGGCUGUGCAGACACACCGCACACAGGCCCAGUGCCAAGGCCCCAGCAAGGAUGCUGCCUCCGAGGUUGUGUAUGAGGAGCUUGACUACAGCCUGAUGCCCGAGUACCAGGAGGUGCCCAGCCACA